UACGUAGGGGGCAAGCGUUGUCCGGAUUUAUUGGGCGUAAAGCGCUCGCAGGCGGUCCCGUGCGUCGUGCGUGAAAGGCCCCGGCUCAACCGGGGGCGGUCGUGCGAUACGGCGGGACUGGAGGCCAGUAGGGGGACGCGGAAUUCCGGGUGGUAGUGGUGGAAUGCGUAGAGAUCCGGAGGAACACCAGCGGCGAAGGCGGCGUCCUGGACUGGCCUGACGCUCAGGAGCG
rnacentral:rRNA from 1 species